AUCACACAGAGAUGUAGCUCGCCCACUCCUUCUCAAAAGGGUCAAUGUCCGCCCCCCAGGGGACAAAGGCAGAGUUCAGAACAAAGUAAAUAUGUGAUAUGUGGUCCUUAUGAGGGUCUUGCUCACAACCAGCCUCUCUGGCGUUGAUCUGGGGCUCCUAGCGGGGCGGUCAGGGAGAAAGGGGUCCGCAAGGCUCUGUGGAGGGAGAGGCACAGAGAUGCUGUUUUGUCCUGGUCUAACACUGUCAGCAACACAGAACACAGAAAUGUAGCUAGCUCCUCUUCUCAGCGGAUUAAAGCAAUAGAAAGACCAAUAAUCUUUGCAUAAGCAGUCCCAGCCAGACUACAUGGAGGACUGUCGGCUUCCGGCUUCUGGCUUCCGGCUUCCUGCUUCUCCACCUGGAACACCGAGCUGUGAGCCAUCAACUGGCCUUGUGCCUCCUGCUGCUGCUGUGGAUCUUGAGUGUGCCCCUGUCAUGCGCCCCCCCAUCCCACUGGCGGCCCUUUGCAAGAAGGCCCUCCUGCAAUCAGAAGCUACAGCUCUCCCCAGGCUUCAUGUCCCGGGUUCUCCCUGAUGGUGUCACUAACACCAAGCACCAAGCUGUCCUGGCGCCAAUGCUGCCAAGCUGUCUGUUUCCAAAGCGCCAGCCAAGUGGGAGCUGGGCUGACAAUCCACCUGCUCCCCCAGUCUUGACCUCGGGUCCCUGCCUGCUGGAAUCCUGGGAAAACUUGCUUCCUUCCUGCCAGCCACAACAACCAGGUUUUGGGCAGAGAUAACUUCAGGCCUCCUCGAUUGUAGCCCAGAGGAAGCAGGAGAUUGGCCAUCUGCUCCUCUGUCUACCUUCCGGAUCCACAGCAGGCUUUGAGCCCAGCAAGAUGGAUGGCUCUCCUUGCAAAGAUGCUUGUCUCCAAGCUUGAGUUCAAUCCCUGGAGCCCCACACUGUAGAAGGAGAAAACUGGCCACGACAAAUCUCCCUCUGACCUUGAUCUGUGUCACACACGCACCUAAACAAAUAAAUAAAUGUAAUAAAACAUUAACACCUGUUCUCCCACCAGGAAGGCUUUUGACCUUCCCAGGUCAUUUCCCCUUGUGUAAAAAAAAAAAAUCCAACCUCAA